rnacentral:rRNA from 1 species
GAUGAACGCUGGCGGCGGGCCUAAUACAUGCAAGUCGAGCGGACGGAGGGGAAGCGCGCUUGUCUGCUGUGAGGGGCGGGCGGGUGAGGAAUAGGAAGCUGACCGACCGAGAGGGAUGACGUACGGAAGGGGGCGCUAAUCUAGUACAGGUCAUGAGGGUGAACGUGGGGGUUCAUAGGACAACACGCUAUUAGAUGUGCCUAGGGCGGAUUAGCUAGUUGGUAGGGUAAAGGCCUACCAAGGCGACGAUCCGUAGCAGGUCUGAGAGGAUGAUCGGUCACACUGGAACUGAGACACGGUCCAGACUCCUACGGGAGGCAGCAGUAGGGAAUAUUCGACAAUGGGCGAAAGCCUGACGCAGCCACGCCGCGUGAGUGAUGAAGGUCUUCGGAUCGUAAAACUCUGUUAUUAGGGAGGAAGAUCAGUAUGAGUAUAUCUGGCUAUCUUGACGUUACCAACACAGAAAGCACCGGCUAACUACGUG